CUGAAAGAGAGAAAAGAUCUGAGCUCAUAGGGAGUCCAGGUGUGACGUCGACCCAGAACAGACGGAAACCCAAAGCUUUUACAGAACGGGCUCGGCCCUGUUACCAUGAAGACCGUGACUGAACAAGCAGGGGUGGAGCCUGCAGCCUGCGUGCCCCUACCUGCUGAGACACACCUGUGUGAGCCUGCGUGCCCCUACCUGCUGAGACACACCUGUGUGAGCCUGCGUGCCCCUACCUGCUGAGACACACCUGUGAAACUUUCACCGGUCUCCUGGCUGAAAGUCCAGGUUUUGGCCCCAAGUGCGUUGAACUAUGAUGCAAGAGUCUCCCGUGUGUUGGCAGCAGCCGCCGAAGGGCGUGACAAAGCGCGGGUAUCUGACAGUCCGGAAAUGAGAAAUGAAAUGCAAGAGAUAACUUGUGUUAAUAAAAUGCACCACAUAAACAAAA